GCAAGACUCAAGUAGGUAUCUUUUUAUAUCUCUGUAGUAGGGCUUGUUAGAGACAAACCAUUUCCUGAAUUUAACAUGUCUAUAGUGGUUAUUACUGACAGUGCCUGAAAUCUACAGAAGGGUAAUAACACUGAUUUACAGGUCAGCUGGCAUAAAUUGGCAGAACUCCACUGAAGUUGAUGAUACUAUGCCAAGUUUCACCAGCUGAGGAUCUUAACCACAGAGACUAAAACGUCCCAGAUGUAAAAUGGAAUGACCUCAAUUUUGUUCAAGUUCAGGGUGAAGUCCCACUUUCCUGAUUUCCAUGAUUGAAUUUCUCAGUGAACUCCUGUGUUGUAUACGUGUUUCCUGUGGAAAAAGCCAAUAUCAUCCGUGUGGUUCAGAACUGUUCAGUCCCUUCUUUUUAGAAUAUCAAUAUUUUUCCACGCAUCUUCAGCAUCUGGGAGAUAGUUUCUCAAAAAGUUGCAGAACUUUUCCAGAUCUUUGUGGAGACUGUUGGCCCGAUUCUGUUCUCAGCUAUGCUGGUAUAAAUCAGAUGUGAUUCCACUGAAGAACAUGAAGUUACACCAACCAGGCUGAAACAUGGAUGCAACAGAAUGCAAGGCAUGAGUCUCUUUGCUGGCCAGAUGGGGACUGAAGCAUUUGAUGAGGUCUGAAGCCAGAGGGUAACAACACCUGUCUGAGACAUAGCUGACCUAAGAUUCACUGAGUAUGAGCAUUUCACAAUGUUUUCUUUUGACAAGGUUGUUACCUGGCAGCAAAUGCAUGCCACAGCUUCCCCCUCUGCGGCAGCAUUUCUAUAAUAGGACUUUUCUUGUUCUCUAAAUAUCUUACACACAGAACCAGGAGCUGCAAACCCUUACUCCUAUUAAUUAUCAUUUGUAUUAUCAUACAUGUAUGAUCGUCCCAGUCAUGGACCAAGACCCCAUUGUGCUAGGCACUAUGUUUAAUACUAGGUCAGACUAGAUGAUAUAGUGAUACCUUCACAUGGGAAUAAAAUUAAUAUUUGGGAGUCUGAAUUUGCAGGAUCAGGCUUAAAGUAUAAUUUGAACAUAUUUUGGAAUAUUCUAUAGUCACUGACUUUUAUCUGAGAUCUUCCCAAUUCUUUUGCCUGGGCUGUUCACUUGUGAAAACAUGCAAGAAACUCGAAUUUGAUAUAAAGAUUUUGUUAUAAAAGGCAGACCUGAUAUAAAGAUUUUGCUGAUAUACU